rnacentral:lncRNA from 1 species
CGCAAGGGCAACCAGGUCCUGUGAACUCGACUUCCUCCCUCGUCUCCACCAUUGCGCAGGCGCAAAUUAUCACAUUCAGCCCUUCCCACCGCUUCCCGCCCUUCUUUGAAACUUCUGGCGUCCUGUUGUGGGCGGAAAAAACGCCUCUAUCUCUCUGCGCAGGCGCAGCCUGUCCGGAAAGCCCCAGAUGGGUUCACGAAGAAACAGACAGCCAAGAGAAGAAAGAAAAUAGAAAAUUUUGGGGAAAAUUUAGAGUUUUCUGACAGAGGAUUCAUAUCUCAAACACCUAGGGAACUGAAAGAUAUAUAAGAAUAGGACUCAUUCCCCAAAUGAUAAAUAGUCAAAGGAAUGACCAGGCAGUUUCUGGAAGAAGAAAAGCUAUCUAUAGCCAUAUGACAAAAAUACUCCCAAGUCAUUGAUUAGAAAAAUGCAAACCAAAACAACUCUGAGAUAUCCCAUACCUAUCAGAUUGAAUUAAAUGAUAAAAGGGCAAAAUGACAUGUUGUAGGGGAUGUGGGAAAAUGGGGACACUAAUACACUGUUGGUGGAACUGUGGACUGACCCAGUCAUUUUGAAGAGCAAUCUGGGAUUAUUUCCUGAAAGUUACAAAACUGGGUAUACUCUUUGACCCAGUAAUACCACUAUUAGGUUGUUUUUCUAAGGUGAUCAGAGAAAAAAAGAAAAAACCUACAUGUUCUAAAAUAUUUAUAUCA